rnacentral:lncRNA from 1 species
UCUGAGCGAUCGAGAAAGGCAAAGAGUGUUGUGAGGGUUUGGGGAAAACCUCUCCACUAUUUAUAGGCCUUGGGAAAAUUGCAAAAAAACCCCAGAGAACCCAAAAUUUACGAAAUUUGAGAUCAAGAUUCGAUCUCCAAAUCCCCCUAAUCACGCCAAGUCGCCGACUCCGGGCAAAGACUCACGGCAAUGUGAGAUACUUUC